rnacentral:rRNA from 1 species
CUACGGGUCGCACCAGUGGGGAAUAUUGGACAAUGGGCGAAAGCCUGAUCCAGCAAUGCCGCGUGAGUGAUGAAGGCCCUCGGGUCGUAAAGCUCUUUUACCUGGGAUGAUAAUGACAGUACCUGGAGAAUAAGCUCCGGCUAACUCCGUGCCAGCAGCCGCGGUAAUACGGAGGGAGCUAGCGUUGUUCGGAAUUACUGGGCGUAAAGCGCACGUAGGCGGCAUGCCAAGUCAGGGGUGAAAUCCCGGGGCUCAACCCCGGAACUGCCCUUGAAACUGGCAAGCUAGAAUCCUGGAGAGGCGAGUGGAAUUCCGAGUGUAGAGGUGAAAUUCGUAGAUAUUCGGAAGAACACCAGUGGCGAAGGCGACUCGCUGGACAGGUAUUGAUGCUGAGGUGCGAAAGCGUGGGGAGCAAACAGGAUUAGAUACCCGAGUAGUC